rnacentral:rRNA from 1 species
CCUACGGGCGGCAGCAGUGAGGAAUAUUGGUCAAUGGCCGGACGGCUGAACCAGCCAUGCCGCGUGAAGGUCAGUGCCCUAUGGGCGUUAAACUUCUUUUGUGCGGGAGCAAUAAUGGUCACGUGUGGCCAGACGAGAGUACCGUACGAAUAAGCAUCGGCUAACUCUGUGCCAGCAGCCGCGGUAAUACGGGGGAUGCAAGCGUUAUCCGGAUUUAUUGGGUUGAAAGGGUGCGUAGGCUGUGAGGUAAGUCAGCGGUGAAAUGCCCCCGCUCAACGGGGUGAAGUGCCAUUGAUACUGCCUUGCUGGAAGGCGGAUGGCGUUGGAGGAAUGUGUGGGGUAGCGGGGAAAUGCAUAGAUAUCACACAGAACACCGAUUGCGAAGGCAUCUCACGAAUCCGCGAUUGACGCUGAUGCACGAAAGCGUGGGUAUCAAACAGGAUUAGAUACCCUUGUAGUC